UUUUUCUCCGCUAAAAGUUUGCCCUCCAUUUUUGGCUUCUUUGUUUCUCUCAGUCCUUACUUAGUUUUGGUCCUUUGAUCGUUUUCGGCGCAAGCUUUUUCUGCUUGUUUCUGCUCAUUUUCCCCUGUUUUGAUUAGGGAUUUCUUCUUUCCCCUCUUUUCUUCGGCUAUUUUUUGUUUCUUCGUUCCUUUGAUUGGUUGCUGAUCAUCUUCUCCUGUUGUCAUUAGAAAUAAUGCUAUGGCUUAUUCAGUUUAUUUGUUUUUCCACAGAGGGAUUUAGACACGUAUGCAUGGAUUUCCACAGGGCUGAUUUUCGUAGGGUCUCCUACUAUUUAACACUGUAUGUUCUUAUCGUUGUAUCCUUCAUCAAUAUCUACACGUAAAUAGCCCAUAUUUAGCAUUUGGAGUGGUAUUUAUAGCGCUCGAGGUAUUCUUAAGAACUUUCUUCCAUGUAUUUUCAAUAACUGUUGCUGA